rnacentral:lncRNA from 1 species
CUCACUGGGCACUGCAGGGGAACCAGUCUGACAGGACCCUGGAGUCAGUGGAGAGGGGAAAAAAAGAAAACCUGCAGAUGAAUAGUGUUUUGAGGCAGUAAUAUCAUAGGAGAACCAUGUAUUACAGAGACAAUAUGAUAUAUCCCAGCACCAGGAGUGGGUCAGAAAGACCAGGAUAGGAUGGCACAUCUGCCGUCUUGGCAGAAAUCAAACUGCAGCCUGCGGUGGGACUUGAGCUGGGUUAGGUACCACUGCCUGCGUCAGGAGCAGACCCAGAGUACAAAUAACAUAACGUGGAGAGUUUUUUAAGAAACUGAAAAAAGGAUCCAGUUCUGGGAAUCCUGAUGAGAGUCCCAGCUUCGAAACGCAGGAGAAAAUGGGACUGGUGCCAAUUGCACCUGGCCUCCGCCGGCAGACACCUGAAUAACCCAGAGGCUCCGUCGGGCAGCCUCCCCGCCGCCUUCCGCAGCGAGCCGGCGGUGCCGGCCCGCGGGCCCUCGGGGCUCCAGCCGGGGCGCUGCGCCGCGGCUCCUGCGGCAAAGCCCCCGGCCCUGCCUCACGCACGGGAGCGGCGCCACCGCCCCGCGUACCCCCGGAUCGGCUUCCCGGCCCCGCCUGGAGGUGAGGGAGGGCCCGGCGCUCCCCGCCCGGCGCCACGCGGGGGGAGUUUCUCCUCGGCGCGGGCAGGUGGGGCCGCUCCCCCGCCCGCCCCGCCUCAGCCCCGCAGGACAGCGCGGGCAUCCCGCGGUGUUCCCGGCUCGGCCGCUGCCCCUCGUCGGGAGCCGCCGCCAGCAGCAACAGGUCCGUGCCCGCUCCUCCCUCCGCCUGCCAGGCGAACAAAGCGGCUGAGCGCGGCCCCGCGCCCGCCCAGCCCCUCCGCCAGCCCGGCCCCCGCUCUUCAGCCAUUUGCCUCGCCUGGCAUCGCAGCGCCGCUCCCACCCGCCUUCCCGGCCUCCCCCGCCCGCUCCGCUGCCUGGGCGAGGCGCCGGGGCCGCUGCGCUGCGGGAGCUGCCCCGGAGCCGUGCGGGGCUCGUCGGCCGCCGCCGAAAGGACCAGGACCAAUUGGUUGGCAAUGCUGCACCCUUUUCUUCAUCCUAAAAUGCUCCUUGGAUUCUAACUGGCAGUAUUGGCUUCGGGAGGAUUACAAGACUGGGGGCAAUGCAUAUGAGGAGCACUGAUACGAAGAAAACUUCCCGAAGGUCAUGCAAAGGCAAACUUGGCUAGUGGGGAAUCGCCUUCCAGAAUAGACCGCAGCCUCAGCCUUCCACUGAAAUAGUUGCACAAGGUGAAUAUGUUAUGAUAGUACUCCUAAGUAUCUGCCAUUAAAGGAGAUUUUUGCUUAUCACCCGGCGCAGU